rnacentral:rRNA from 1 species
AAUGCUUUUCACAUGCAAGUCGAACGGCAGCACGGACUUCGGUCUGGGGGCAACCUCUCGAGAGUGGCGAACGGGUGAGUAAUAUAUCGGAACGUGCCCAGUCGUGGGGGAUAACGUAGCGCAAGAUACGCUAAUACCGCAUACGAUCUCCGGAUGAAAGCGGGGGAUUGCAAGACCUAGCGCGAUUGGAGCGGCCGAUAUCAGGAUAAGUAGUUGGUGGGGUAAAGGCUCACGAGGACAACGAUCUGUAGCUGGUCUGAGAGCACGACCAGCCACACUGGAACUGAGACACGGUCCAGACUCCUACGGGAGGCAGCAGUGGGGAAUUUUGGACAAUGGACGCAAGUCUGAUCCAGCCAUUCCGCGUGCAGGAUGAAGGCCCUCGGGUUGUAAACUGCUUUUGUACGGAACGAAAAGGUCUCUCUUAAUACGGGGGACUCAUGACGGUACCGUAAGAAUAAACACCGGCUAACUACGUGCCAGCCGCCGCCGUAA